CAACGCCGCGUGGAGGAUGAAGUCCCUUGGGACGUAAACUCCUUUCGAUUGGGAAGAUUAUGACGGUACCAAUAGAAGAAGCCCCGGCUAACUUCGUGC
rnacentral:rRNA from 1 species